GUGUUAAACAAAUAAUCAAUUACAUCGCUGGAGCGUGUAGAUUUGUAUCAGGAACAACUAAAACCAUUGUUCAAUAUUCAAUUUUACUAGUACUGAAAACGAAAAAGGAAGUAUAUGCAAUAUGUUUAUUAUCACAUACGAGAGUCUGGAUAAGAGUCCACUCAAUUGUUUAUGCUAUGUAAUUUUUUCUAUUUUGUAUAAUUAUUGCCCAUUUUCUGUUUAAUCUAUAUUUCAG
rnacentral:lncRNA from 1 species